rnacentral:rRNA from 1 species
AACGAACGCUGGCGGCAUGCCUAACACAUGCAAGUCGAACGAGACCUUCGGGUCUAGUGGCGCACGGGUGCGUAACGCGUGGGAACCUGCCCUUAGGUUCGGAAUAACUCCCCGAAAGGGGUGCUAAUACCGGAUAAUGUCUUCGGACCAAAGAUUUAUCGCCUUUGGAUGGGCCCGCGUUGGUUUAGCUAGUUGGUAGUGUAAAAGCCUACCAAGGCGACGAUCCAUAGCUGGUCUGAGAGGAUGAUCAGCCACACUGGGACUGAGACACGGCCCAGACUCCUACGGGAGGCAGCAGUGGGGAAUAUUGGACAAUGGGCGAAAGCCUGAUCCAGCAAUGCCGCGUGAGUGAUGAAGGCCUUAGGGUUGUAAAGCUCUUUUACCCGGGAUGAUAAUGACAGUACCGGGAGAAUAAGCUCCGGCUAACUCCGUG